CACGUAGGGUGCGAGCGUUGUCCGGAAUUAUUGGGCGUAAAGAGCUCGUAGGCGGUGUGUCGCGUCGGCCGUGAAAACCUGCAGCUUAACUGUGGGCGUGCGGUCGAUACGGGCAUCACUGGAGUUCGGUAGGGGAGACUGGAAUUCCUGGUGUAGCGGUGAAAUGCGCAGAUAUCAGGAGGAACACCGGUGGCGAAGGCGGGUCUCUGGGCCGAUACUGACGCUGAGAUGCGAAAGUGUGGGGAGCAAACGGG
rnacentral:rRNA from 1 species